rnacentral:rRNA from 1 species
ACGUAGGAUGCAAGCGUUGUCCGGAAUUAUUGGGCGUAAAGAGUUCGUAGGCGGCAUGUCAAGUCUGGUGUUAAAGCCCGAGGCUCAACCUCGGUUCAGCAUUGGAUACUGGCAAGCUAGAAUGCAGUAGAGGCAAGGGGAAUUCCCAGUGUAGCGGUGGAAUGCGUAGAUAUUGGGAGGAACCCCAGUGGCGUAUGCGCCUUUCUGGGCUGUUAUUGACGCUGAGCAACGUCUGCCAGGGGUUCGAAUGG